ensembl:lncRNA
UAUAGAGAGAGGUUUGAAUCUACCACUAUGGUCAUGGACUUGUCUACUGUUCCUUUUGGUUAUGCCAGGUUUUGCUUAGGAUGCAUGUUAUUUCAUGCCACAAGUUUAGAACAUUGCAUUUCUGUUUGGUUGUCACCUUCUGUCAUUCUAGAAUGUCCCUUAUCUGUAUUACUGCUUCUUGUCUGACGUUAGCAUUGCCACAAUAGGUUUUUCUUGUCAUUUUAGUUUCAAGUCUCUGUAGCCUUAUGUUACAUAUGUGUCUUAUAUGUUAUUCUUGCAUUAAUUCUUUGGAUAAUUUCAUUCCCUAGACAUUUGCUGAUGACCUUCAUGCCAGAUGCCCACUUGAGAGCCUGGAGAGAGUGGCAUGUAGCACUUUCUGCCUGCUGAGUGGCCUGCACACACCCCUGGGAUCUCUGGCUCCAGAGCCUGUGUUUAUCCUGCUAUGGCAAACCACACUGCCUUCUCUAAGGCAGCAUCUCCUGGUGGGAAGAGUAUCAUCUGCUUUGAAGUUCUGCCCCGUCUGAAGAUAUUGGAAAGGAGGAGAAGAAAGAGGAAAGCAGAGAAGAUCGCCUCGCAGAGGCCAGGCUGCAGCCUGGGCUCCGUGCACCUCUGCCUGCUGACGGGAUCCACCUCAGGUCAAGAAGGUGCUGGCUCACCCUUCCCUCAAGAUUUUAGAGAUCCCAGUGCAUGUCCUGGAAAUCCUUUAAAAUUCAAAGAAAACAAGCAAAGCUCUGGCUAAUUAAAUGUUUUCUGCUUACCGUCGUUAACAUAUUAAUGCGACAGGCUAAAUGUAUUACUCAGUGGUGCAGAAGCUCUUAGGUCUGUGCACCCCUUUUUGAGAGGAUUUCUCCAUGUGGCAUCCGUGUUUACAGUGCACUGGCUUUCUGUUCAUAGGGCUUUUACGUGGGGGCGAUGGCAUGGCAGAAAGCAUCCCCAGGGUGAGAAGGGGAUGGGGAGGUCCACAUUGCAGUUCAGACCCCCUGGACAUCUGCCUUUGAGAUAGCCACGUCCCUGAGCCUUUCCUUUCAAAGGAUGGUGGGUCAGUUUCUAAUGUUCCCAUUUUGACCUCUCAGACUCAGGGACUGAGGCUAGAGCACAGGUCCUCUCGUUGAGGUCACUGUAGCGCUUCAGCGGCAUCAGCACUCUUGCUUUCUUUUGCACAUCCUUGGUUUUCAGUUAUUAUGGGUACACAGCGAGCCACCCCAAAAUUAGUACAACAAUAGCCAUUUUGCUGUGUUCAUGGAUUCUGUGGGUAAGGAAUUGGGAAGGAGCCCAGGGUGUGGUGCGUCAGUUGGGAAGAUUUGAGUUGAUAGUAGGUUUGCUCACUCCUGUGUCUGUGGUGCACGUGGCCUCUGUGUGGCUGGGCUUCCUUGCAGCAUGGCAUCCUGAGCCGCCUUCCACGGGGCCUUGCUCAGGGCUCCCAGCACAAGUGUUCCAGCCAACAGGGUGGAUUCCACAGCGCCUUUUCUGGCCCAGUCUCUGCCACAUUGAAUCAUCUGUACCUGGCGAGGUCCUGACUUCCUUUCUGCCAGAUCCUUCUCUGGUCCUCAAGGUCCCUUACUGUUUUUGCCCCUGGUUACAACCUCCUGUGUACCUGUCCUGGAGUGUUGUGGUUAGGAGUGUGGUCUCGGGCGCAGACUGAAAUACACUGCUGUGUGCAGUAGGAACCUUGGCUGCUGCCCUGUGUUCAUGGCAAGCACUUCAGAGCUGAGCCUGGUGUGAGGCGAGUCCUCCAUCAACGGCCUUGACUUUUCUUUCCCAGACUAAAGUGCAGGUUCCUUCAGGGAAGCUCUCUCUUGGUCAUCUCUGCCUGGCAUUUCCUGCAGGACUUGGCAAGUACUGCGUUCCCUCUGCUUGGGCGGUCUGCGCUGGGUCUGUCUCCUGUUCUGUAAGUCUCACAAAUUCACCCUCUCAGAGCAGCCGUCUCUGCCUGUCCCCUGCUAGGAGCUGUGGUGACCUCUACUCAUCUUGUUUCCUUUUGUUCAUGACACUAGCUCUAAUGAAAAUGUUUCAUCCCCUCUUUGUUUCUGUUAGACCAGGAUAUGAACCCCACCAGAGCCAGAUCUGGGCCUGUCUCCUUCCCUGCUAUUCAGUGCCUACAAGAGGGUCUGGGUCAAAAAUGAAUGGAGAGAAGGAAGGGAGGGGUAAAAAGAUCGACUUCAGGAAGAUUUCAGAAACACGGUGCUGAGAAUAGUAGGGUCAUGUACCAGGGUGGGAUUUACUUCCUUUUUAUACACUUAAAAAAUCUCAAAGAUAUCCAUUCAGCUUUCAGUUUAGGUGAAAUCUAUUCGUAAUAAAAAUAAAAUGAUAUCUCAACGACAACUUAAUUUUGAGUAAAAAUAUUUUCUGGAGGGCAGGGGGCUCUAAAUACAAAGAAGCAAAGAAGCGCAUCACCUCUCCCCAGUGGGGCUCAUGGCCCUCGAUGGAGCCACCUGGAGCCCAGGCACUUUGCAAUUUAUUCCUGGGUCGCCUCCACCUCCGUCCCUCAGUUAUGGGGCUGUGAUGGUCCACAGCAAGCCCCCAUUCUUGCUGCUCCACUGGUGUGAUUUUCUUGGGACCGAAAUGGGGAGAGGACAGGAUUGUGUGUUUUGCGAAAGCACAGCGUUGGACGUUCAUUGGUGUUCCUCUGUGCUUCCAUGACUUGAGGGCAACCAUCUAGCAGUUUACAGGGGUUCUGAAUAAAUUCCAGGGACCUGGAAAUUAUUGGAUUUAUUUUAUUUUAAGCAGAAACAUUUUAUGUUUAGUGUGGUAACGGCAUGCUCCACUUAGUGUGGUCAUGCCUAGCUCUCUUGUUUUGUGUCCACUUUGGAGUCUGGCUCUGGGCAAGCACUCAAAUGCUCAUAGGAAUCCCACGGCUCAGGGCAUCCUCUGAACCCAAGGGCCUCUAAAGGGGGAACAGCAACGUGGGAAUGUGGGUGGGGACAGCGAGUGAGGAGCCGGUGCAGGGUGACGGCAGGUGUAGGUUCUG